AUUGAACGCUGGCGGCCGGCCUAACACAUGCAAGUCGAACGCGUGGCGGACGGGUGAGUACUGUCUGUGAAACUGCCUGAUGGAGGGGGAUAAUUACUGGAACCGGUACCUAAUACCGAAUACCUUCGGAUGUGCCCAGAUGGGAUUGGUUAGUAGGGGGGGUAACGGCUCACAUGGGCGACGAUCCCUAGCUGGUCUGAGAGGAUGACCAGCCCCACUGGAACUGAGACACGGUCCAGACUCCUAGGGGAGGCAGCAGUGGGGAAUAUUGCACAAUGGGCGCAAGCCUGAGGCAGCCAUGCCGCGUGUAUGAUGAAGGCCUUCGGGUUGUAAAGUACUUUCAGCGGGGAGGCGUUACCCGCAGAAAAGGGACCGGCUAACUCCGUGCCAGCAGCCGCGGUAAUAC
rnacentral:rRNA from 1 species